CCCGGGGGUCGCGUCAGAAUCCAUUCCUUUUCUCUUCCUCCACACGCAUCCUUCUCCUCUCCUCUCUCCCCAAAUCACCGCCGCCGCCCGCGACUGAACCCGCCCAGCUCCGCCCACCCUACUCUGCCCGCUUCUCCAUGACGUUGGUUCCUCUACACCCCGUCGUCUUCGCUCUGCUCUGCCCGUGGCGGCUGCCAUGUCCACUCCUGUGACGUGCCGAUAUGGUGGCGCUGUGGCCGGGUGUGAUCUGGAGAACCAGCGGGCGGUGGUGCACGGCCUGGGCGGCGGCGACCUGCGCGACCCCGGUGCUGCACGGACGCCUCCUUCCCCGUCGCAUUGAUCCAAGGCGGCUCUCUCCUAGCCAACCUCCAGCGACAAGAAGAUGGUAGAUGGGUCAUGGGAGAUGGGGCCACUCGACUCAGCCAAGGCAUCGGAGGACCAAAUCUGGACCGAAGCAGUUCACCAGCACGGGCGACAGAGAGAUUGGACGAGGAAGCCGAGCCGUUCGCGAGGCUAUCGACUCGCCCUUCGCUCGUGGGGCAGAGAAUAACCAGGAGGUGGAGCGGUCCACGGCGUCGUCGCCCUCGCCUUCGAGCCAUCCAUGACGUCGUCGCCAUCACCUAGCCACUCACCGCACAGGACGCAGAGAUGGGCGAGGAAGCAGCAGCGGCUCGAUGAUGACAGGAAGCAACAGUUCGCUCAUUCCUAGGUAUGUGAACCCUCUUGUCAUCUACACGGAUAGCUUUCUGUAAUUGUGGCAAGGUGCAGAGAUGGUUGUACAGUCGGUUAUCCUGUCAUUGAAACCAUUCAUAAGGAUAACAUCUGUCAUGUCGUUGAAGCUCCUGCUGAGAUACCUGAGAAAAUGAAGAAGUUAGCUACCAAUGUAGCUGAAAAAAACUAUCAAAUCAUUAGAAGGUGUUGGUGUUUUUGUUGCCGGACUAUCUUUAGCAAAUGCCAAUCCAGUUUGUUCGAACAUUUAUGCAUGUCUUAUAUAAUUGAAUCCUCCUAUGUUGAUGUUGGAUCUUUCUCUCAUUGAUAAUUUCACUAGGUUUUAUCGAACGAAGUAGCCCCUAGGGCUCACAUUAGUGGACACCAUAUAAUCCAGACAUGGCACUCUUCACAAUACGAGCAACAUCUACGUGCUAUUCUUGGACUUCCUGUUGGUAACCCUGUAAUUAAAGCACCCGCAACCAUAAUGAACAAAAUCCUGGGCUAUGAUGAGGUAUGUAUAUAUUUGAUUUUGUGUUGAUUUGCCCUCCAUGUUUUGCUAUGUUAAACAUUGAUAGUUAGGUCAAUAUUUGCUUUAUUAUUUAGUAACUCAUUAUUUUUGUAGGCCACCAUGUUAUUAUACUGGUUACCAAUUGGUACAAUGCAAUUUGGGAUUUUUUUUGGGCCCAUUAGCUGAUUAAGAGGGCGCUAAAUAUUUCAGGUGCAUCAGUCUAUUGGCAUGCAAAGGCAGGUUCUGCCCACACACAUAGAUGUUUGUUGCAGAAAGGUUUUAAUUAUGCUUAUUGCAUUCUUGUGCCAUUGAGUAUUAUUUAAAGAAUUGUUCUUCCACAUAUUUGGAAGCAAAGUAAGAUGGGUCAUAUUACAAUUGUGGGGCGUUAAUUAUGUGUUCAGUGUAAAAGCACAUUUGGACAAGUACACAAGAAUUUGUUGUUAGGGUCUACCGACAAAACAUGUAGGUGAGGCCAUUCAUGUACAUCAUCUUAUCUUGUCCUUUCUUUGUUCUGUUUUCCCCUGAUUAUGCCUGCAAUGGAAGUGCUUAUUUAGACAGUGCAUAUUGGAACAACAUUGAUCUAUUCUGCUUUUCAUUUAGACACUGCAUCUUUUCCUGUACUUUCUUUGUCCUAUUUCCCCCUUCUGUAAUGUGAAUUUCAAAUGGAACAAAUAAAAUAGUAAAUCACCUCCUUGUCAGCAAGAAGUUUCUUGCUGAAAACAUUUGGCGACUGAUCUGUAACAUUAGAAGCCAUGUCACUCUUACCAUGUUGUGAACAAUGCAACAUUUCUCUUGCUAUUUUGUGUAUAAAUAUUUCAUCGGAAAGGAUUGUGCAACUAUGCCUUAUAUAUCAUAACUCUUGGAUGCAACUGUUUGCACAACUUUUGUGCGAGGAUGUAUUACUACUUUGAUGAAAAUUUACUUGUUGUUUUUUGUGUGCAUUGCAUUUCAGAUCUGACACAUAAAGGCACCUUGCCUUGUAUCAUGCAUUCCGCCCCAUAGACAUGUUCUUUAUCAGAUCUGAUGGUUCUCUGGUGGUUACAUGCCGACUGAAUCGAAUUGGGUUGGAUGCUCAGGUUUCUUGUCAACCAUUUAAUUUUAAGCAUUAUCUUUCAUGUCAUAGGCUAUUAUGUGCCAAUCCCUAAUAAAGGAAUCUGGUCCAGAAUUCUGUGGUGUACAAUAUCUCAAAAACUCUUUGGAAUUGGUAGGUAAAAAUUGAUUUGUUGUGAGCAGAAAGGAUCUUGAUAUGGUGCUUAAAAGCAUAACCCCGUCCUUAUUGUUCACAUACAGAUUUUUAUAUUUAUUUUAAUCGAUUCACUUUCGUCGGCAUUUUAGCAUGUGUUCCUUUUCAUGGCCAGCUUUACCAUUUGCUCUAGAAGGUGUUUUUCAACUCGGAAAGAACAAAGGAUUUGAGACUGCUUUAUCUUUCAUGUAAUAGUUCAGUUCAACUGUUUAUUUUUUCCGUAGUAGUUCAUAAUCAGUCUGAACAAUAGUACAUCAGUAAAAAUAAUAGUAGUUAAUUUAAGACUGCUUUUACCUUUCCUGCAAUAAUUCAAGGUGAUUGUUCUUAGUUUUUUUUUUCUGUAGUAGUUAAUUUGAUGAUCUAAUUUACAAAAAAGCAAGCACCUCUGUUUGUAGGUUGCAGGUUCCAAGGUGUGAUCGUUGUCCAUUUGUUUGAGGUCGGGCAACAACGAUAAUUAGCAGCCCUGUAUCCUAACCAGGAGAACAUCCCUUCCCCAAUAUUGGUUUUUAGAUUAUGUUCAGUUAAUUAGAAAAAUAGUGUGCUUGCUAAAACAUCGCAAUUUUCCAUGUGAGUCGAUAUGGAAUUAACAAACACUAUAUGCAUCAAUGUCUAUUUAAUGGCCUAAAAACACUGGCAUGUUUGGAUCUAAUUUUUCAUCUGUACGUAUCAGCGGUGAGCUAUUCCCACUUGAGGGUGACUAUACAUCAGUUGCACAUUCA